GAUGAACGCUGACAGAAUGCUUAACACAUGCAAGUCAACUUGAAUUUGGGUUUUUAACUUAGGUUUGGGUGGCGGACGGGUGAGUAACGCGUAAAGAACUUGCCUCACAGCUAGGGACAACAUUUGGAAACGAAUGCUAAUACCUAAUAUUAUGAUAAUAGUGCAUCCUAUAAUUAUGAAAGCUAUAAGCGCUGUGAGAGAGCUUUGCGUCCCAUUAGCUAGUUGGAGAGGUAACGGCUCACCAAGGCGAUGAUGGGUAGCCGGUCUGAGAGGGUGAUCGGCCAAAAGGGGAACGGGACACGGCCCUUCCCCCUACGGGAGGAUGGGGGGGGGAAUAUUGGAAAAGUACCGGGGGGUUUAAGCCGGCAUUUGGGUGGGAAAAAUGAAUUUUUUCGAAAGGAAAAGUGCUUUCUGUUGGGAAGAAACAAUGGCGGGAACCAAAAAAAGAAGUACGGGUAAAUUCGUG
rnacentral:rRNA from 1 species